AACCGACUCGCGGGCGAAAUUACCUCAGUCAUAGAUUAUGUUGAAGACAUUAAAACUAAGUUGCCACCAAUGUCUGAGGAGCUGAGUGACAAAAUAGAUGACCUCGCCCAGGAAAUAAAGGACAGAAGGCUUGCUGAGAAGGUGUUCCAGGCUGAGAGCCACGCUGCUCAGCUGAACGACUCGUCUGCUGUGCUUGAUGGAAUCCUGGAUGAGGCUAAGAACAUCUCCUUCAAUGCCACGGCGGCCUUCAGAGCUUACAGUAAUAUUAAAGACUACAUCGAUGAAGCUGAGAAAGUGGCCAGAGAAGCCAAAGAGCUUGCUCACGAGGCUACAAAACUGGCAACAAGUCCCCAGGGCUUGUUAAAGGAAGAUGCCAAAGGCUCCCUUCAGAAAAGUUUCAGGAUCCUCAACGAAGCCAAGAAGCUGGCAAAUGAUGUGAAAGAAAAUCACAAUGAUCUAAGUGGCCUGAAAACCAGGUUAGAAACUGCUGACCUUAGAAACAGUGGACUCCUAGGAGCUUUAAAUGACACCAUGGACAAGUUAUCAGCCAUUCCGAAUGACACGGCUGCUAAACUGCAGGCUGUCAAAGAGAAAG
rnacentral:lncRNA from 1 species